UGAAAUCUCGGGGCUCAACCCCGAAACUGCGUCUGAAACUGCAGGUCUAGAAUCUUGGAGGGGGAAGGGGAAUUUCGCAUGUAGGGGUAAAAUCCGUAGAUAUGCGAAGGAACACCAGGGGCGAAGGCGCCUUCCUGGACAAGUAUUGACGCUGAGGCGCGAAAGCGUGGGGAUCAAACAGGAUUAGAUACCCUGGUAGUCCACGCUGUAAACGAUGAAUACUAGAUAUUGCAGGAUUUGACCCCAGCAGUGUCGCAGCUAACGCGUUAAG
rnacentral:rRNA from 1 species